rnacentral:rRNA from 1 species
GACGAACGCUGGCGGCGUGCUUAACACAUGCAAGUCGAACGGAAAGGCCCUGCUUUUGUGGGGUGCUCGAGUGGCGAACGGGUGAGUAACACGUGAGUAACCUGCCCUUGACUUUGGGAUAACUUCAGGAAACUGGGGCUAAUACCGGAUAGGAGCUCCUGCUGCAUGGUGGGGGUUGGAAAGUUUCGGCGGUUGGGGAUGGACUCGCGGCUUAUCAGCUUGUUGGUGGGGUAGUGGCUUACCAAGGCUUUGACGGGUAGCCGGCCUGAGAGGGUGACCGGCCACAUUGGGACUGAGAUACGGCCCAGACUCCUACGGGAGACAGCAGUGAGGAAUAUUGCACAAUGGGCGGAAGCCUGAUGCAGCAACGCCGCGUGCGGGAUGACGGCCUUCGGGUUGUAAACCGCUUUCGCCUGUGACGAAGCGUGAGUGACGGUAAUGGGUAAAGAAGCACCGGCUAACUACGUG